CGGCGGACGGGUGAGUAACACGUGGAUAACCUACCUAUAAGACUGGGAUAACUUCGGGAAACCGGAGCUAAUACCGGAUAAUAUAUUGAACCGCAUGGUUCAAUAGUGAAAGACGGUUUUGCUGUCACUUAUAGAUGGAUCCGCGCCGCAUUAGCUAGUUGGUAAGGUAACGCUUACCAAGGCAACGAUGCGUAGCCGACCUGAGAGGGUGAUCGGCCACACUGGAACUGAGACACGGUCCAG
rnacentral:rRNA from 1 species